rnacentral:rRNA from 1 species
AUUGAACGCUGGCGGCAGGCUUAACACAUGCAAGUCGAGCGGAGAGAGGUAGCUUGCUACUGAUCUUAGCGGCGGACGGGUGAGUAAUGCUUAGGAAUCUGCCUAUUAGUGGGGGACAACAUUUCGAAAGGAAUGCUAAUACCGCAUACGUCCUACGGGAGAAAGCAGGGGAUCUUCGGACCUUGCGCUAAUAGAUGAGCCUAAGUCGGAUUAGCUAGUUGGUGGGGUAAAGGCCUACCAAGGCGACGAUCUGUAGCGGGUCUGAGAGGAUGAUCCGCCACACUGGGACUGAGACACGGCCCAGACUCCUACGGGAGGCAGCAGUGGGGAAUAUUGGACAAUGGGCGCAAGCCUGAUCCAGCCAUGCCGCGUGUGUGAAGAAGGCCUUAUGGUUGUAAAGCACUUUAAGCGAGGAGGAGGCUACUUUAGAUAAUACCUAGAGAUAGUGGACGUUACUCGCAGAAUGAGCACCGGCUAACUCUGUGCCAGCAGCCGCCGCGG